UAGGGAAUCUUCGGCAAUGGACGAAAGUCUGACCGAGCAACGCCGCGUGAGUGAAGAAGGUUUUCGGUUCGUAAAACUCUGUUGUUAGAGAAGAACAAGGACGUUAGUAACUGAACGUCCCCUGACGGUAUCUAACCAGAAAGCCACGGCUAACUACGUGCCAGCAGCCGCGGUAAUACGUAGGUGGCCAGCGUUGUCCGGAUGUAUUGGGCGUCAAGCGAGCGCAGGCGGUUUCUUGUGUCUGAUGUGAAAGCCCUCGGCUUAAGCGGGGAGGGUUAUUGGAAACUGGGAGACUUGAGGUAAGAAGAGAACAGGGGAAUUCCAUGUGUAGCGGUGAAAUGCAUAGAGAUAUUGAGAAACACCAGUCGGGAAGGCUGCUCUCUGGUCUGUAACUGACGAUGAGGCUCGAAAGCGUGGGGAGCAAACAGG
rnacentral:rRNA from 1 species